rnacentral:rRNA from 1 species
UACAGAGGGCCCAAGCGUUGUUCGGAUUCACUGGGCGUAAAGGGUGCGUAGGCGGUCGGGUAAGUCUGGUGUGAAAUCUCACAGCUUAACUGUGAAACUGCAUUGGAUACUAUCCGGCUAGAGGAAUGGAGGGGAGACUGGAAUACUUGGUGUAGCAGUGAAAUGCGUAGAUAUCAAGUGGAACACCAGUGGCGAAGGCGAGUCUCUGGACAUUUCCUGACGCUGAGGCACGAAAGCCAGGGGAGCAAACGGG